GUCUAUGGCCAUGCCACCCUGAACAAGCCCGAUCCUGUCUAAUCUUGGAAGCUAAGCAGGGUCGGGCCUGGUUAGUACUUGGAUGGGAGACCACUUAGGAAGACCAGGUGCUGUAGGCA
rnacentral:rRNA from 1 species